AGUGAACGCUGGCGGUAGGCCUAACACAUGCAAGUCGAACGGCAGCACAGUAAGAGCUUGCUCUUACGGGUGGCGAGUGGCGGACGGGUGAGGAAUAAAUCGGAAUCCACUUUUUCGUGGGGGAUAACGUAGGGAAACUUACGCUAAUACCGCAUACGACCUACGGGUGAAAGCAGGGGAUCUUCGGACCUUGCGCGAUUGAAUGAGCCGAUGUCGGAUUAGCUAGUUGGCGGGGUAAAGGCCCACCAAGGCGACGAUCCGUAGCUGGUCUGAGAGGAUGAUCAGCCACACUGGAACUGAGACACGGUCCAGACUCCUACGGGAGGCAGCAGUGGGGAAUAUUGGACAAUGGGCGCAAGCCUGAUCCAGCCAUACCGCGUGGGUGAAGAAGGCCUUCGGGUUGUAAAGCCCUUUUGUUGGGAAAGUAAAGCAGCGGGUUAAUACCCCGCUGUUCUGACGGUACCCAAAGAAUAAGCACCGGCUAACUUCGUG
rnacentral:rRNA from 1 species